rnacentral:rRNA from 1 species
UACUAGAGUAGCACUCGCAUAUCAAUAAGCGGAGGAAAAGAAACUAACAAGGAUUCCCCUAGUAACGGCGAGUGAAGCGGGAAGAGCUCAAAUUUGAAAUCUUAAAGGGUUUCCCUUUACGAAUUGUAGUUUAAAGAAGUGUUUUCUGUUGAGGUUUUGGUAAAAGUUCUUUGGAAUAGGACAUUAUAGAGGGUGAGAAUCCCGUAUUUGACCUUUACUUUCAACUUUGUGAUACACUUUCAAAGAGUCGGAUUGUUUGGGAAUGCAGUCCAAAAUGGGUGGUAAAUUUCAUCUAAAGCUAAAUAUUGGCGAGAGACCGAUAGCGAACAAGUACCGUGAGGGAAAGAUGAAAAGAACUUUGAAAAGAGAGUUAAACAGUACGUGAAAUUGUCAAAAGGGAAGCGUUUGACACCAGUGUUGUUUUUCUGAAAAUCAAUUAAAGAACUGUUUAUGCUAAGCUGUUUAGACUUUAUCAGCUAUCUGUUUAGUUUUGAGCUUUUCUUUAAUGCACUUUUCAGUUAACAAGUCAACAUCAAUUUCUUUUGCUGUAAAAAAGCUUGAGGAAGGUGGCUUGAGAUUCGUCUUAAGUGUUUAUAGCCUCUUGCCUAUGCAGUCGGAGAGAUUGAGGUCUGCAGCGUAGAUCCUUCGGGGCUAAAUGCAUUUGUGCUAAGUUAUAGCAUUUUAUAGACAACUUGUUGACUAUGAUUUGUCUUGUAGCUUACUCGCUUAUGUUAUUUUACCUACGCUUAGGAUGUUGAGCGCAUGUCUCUCUCU